ACUAGAAGCUUCAAGAAUCAGAAUGCUGACUCAGUUCCAGGAAACAGAUCAGGACGCUACCACAAAAGAGGAAGCAGAAAGUUAGAUUGAAAGCAGAUAGCAUACGCUAAAUCAGAAACGAAGCAUCCUGGAUGAACUGAAGUUAUUUUCAUCACACUCUAUGAAUAGAGAAUGAGAGUGUGCAUGAGCAGGCAAAG